rnacentral:tRNA from 1 species
AGGAUAAUAGUUAAAUAUAACAUUUAAUUUGCAUUUAAAAAGUAUUGAAUAAUUCAAUUUAUCUUA